AAUACGCACCAUCAGAAGAAUAUUCUGGAAGGCCAUUCUUCAUCACGAAAAUGGUAGGGUCAUGAAGGAUUAAGAGGAAGGGGGUUGCGAGAAGCUUCUUGGAGAGAAAAAGAGUGUGAUACUCCGUUUUGGAAAAAGAAGAUUGUAUGAUGAGAGAAAUCCUCUUGUAAUCUCUGUUGAAUUGAAGAUUGAAUAUAGUGGAGUGGCGACAGUGGAUGUAGAUCAAAUUAUGAUCCAACCACUAUAAAAUCCUGGUGUAUUCUCUUCCCUUCUUCUCACUUCAGUUUUCUUGAUUUCUCUGUUUGUUAAAUUCUGGAUAGUAAUAGUGUUAGAUUCUUGAACAAUUGAGAGUUGAAAACUUGAUACAGAAUUGAUUUAGUAGCAGAGUAGAAAUUGAUUCUCAACAUAGUUGUUUGUCUCUUUUUUUUUUUCAUCUUUGCAUAAUUCUUUGAGCUUUUGAGUCCUUAAUUCCGGAUAUCUUAUUUUCAUUAUUUUUUAUCCUGGUUGGUUGGAUCUUGAAUAUUAGAUUCUUGAUUCUUAGUUUCUUAUUUUGUGAGUUCUACUUGUUCCUUACCUGAGUUUGACACUUAACAAAUAUUCCUAUUUGAUUGGUUACUUGUUUGGUUCUUAGUUUCUUGGUUGCAAAACUCUUAGUUCAUCACCAUAUAAUUGAGACGAAAUUGCAUCCUUGUGGGAAAUAAUAUCCAUUUUAGAGUGUAAACACCAGUGAAACCACAUCAAUUGAGUGAAACAUGUGAGAAAGUGAAUUGUGAGGUCCACUUUUCUUUUGAUCGUUUUCUCUGUUGCAGUGAUGUAAAAAACUUGGGAGGUAGACCUAAUAAUGGAGAUGUAGAAGAGAUGGAACUAAAAGAACAAUUCUUUGUGAGAGUCAUGUACAAUGUGAAGACUAUGAUCAAUGAGAGGUUGGAUAUGGAGCAAAGACUUCAAGUUAGGGAUAAACCUCAAGGAAGGAGGUAGCCUAAGAAGUUUUGGAGGAAGAAGACUUAGGGGAAGAAGAUGAAGACGGGGAGCCGAGGUUGCAAUACCUAGAAGAGGGGAACGUCGAGGCUUGAGAGGAAGAGAAGGUUUCCAAAAUAGAAAGCAACAAGGGAUCAAAGGAGAGGAGACAACCAUGGAGAUCGGGGCUUUGACAUUAAGGUUAAAUUUCACUUCCAACCCAGGAGAUUAUUUAGAAUGGGAACAAGAAGAUGAACAUUUAUUUUAUGGCAACAACCUCACUAAAGAGAGAAAGAUAACUAUGUCUGUUACAGUACAUUUUAAGAGUUAUGCACAAACUUGGUGGGAUAAGGUGUGUUUUAGGAGAAGGAGACGAUAAGAAGGUCUACUGGAAACAUAUGGUUGGAAUUGAAGGAGCUUAUGAAGAGGUGGUUCGUACCCCUAUAGACAUCGUA